AGGGAAUCUUCCGCAAUGGACGAAAGUCUGACGGAGCAACGCCGCGUGAGUGAAGAAGGCCUUCGGGUCGUAAAACUCUGUUGCCGGGGAAGAACAAGUGCCGUUCGAACAGGGCGGCGCCUUGACGGUACCCGGCCAGAAAGCCACGGCUAACUACGUGCCAGCAGCCGCGGUAAUACGUAGGUGGCAAGCGUUGUCCGGAAUUAUUGGGCGUAAAGCGCGCGCAGGCGGCUUCUUAAGUCUGAUGUGAAAUCUUGCGGCUCAACCGCAAGCGGUCAUUGGAAACUGGGAAGCUUGAGUGCAGAAGAGGAGAGUGGAAUUCCACGUGUAGCGGUGAAAUGCGUAGAGAUGUGGAGGAACACCAGUGGCGAAGGCGACUCUCUGGACUGUAACUGACGCUGAGGCACGAAAGCGUGGGUAGCAAAC
rnacentral:rRNA from 1 species